rnacentral:rRNA from 1 species
UCAAGGUAGAAAGAGCACACGAUGGAUGCCUUGGCGCCAAGAGGCGAUGAAGGACGCGGCUACCUGCGAAAAGCUACGGGGAACUGGACGCGAGUGUCGAUCCGUAGAUAUCCGAAUGGGGAAACCCGGCAGACGUCAUGGUCUGUCAUCCCGGACUGAAUACAUAGGUUCGGGAGGCGAACGGAGGGAACUGAAACAUCUAAGUACCUCCAGGAGAAGAAAUCAAGAGAGACUCCGCUAGUAGUGGCGAGCGAAUGCGGAAUAGCCCAAACCAGCAGGUUUCCUGCUGGGGUUGUGGGGGCCCGACGUGGGACCGUAAGGACUAGCAGAACGGCCUGGGAAGGCCGGCCAGAGACGGUGAGAGCCCGGUAUGCGAAAGUUCGAGCGGCCCUAGGGAUUCCCCGAGUAAGGCGGGACACGAGAAACCCUGUCUGAAGCUGGGAGGACCAUCUUCCAAGGCUAAGUACUCCUUGGCGACCGAUAGUGCACAAGUACCGUGAGGGAAAGGUGAAAAGAACCCCUGCGAGGGGAGUGAAAAGAAUCUGAAAUCGUGUGUUUACAAGCAGUCGGAGAGCUAUGGCGCAAGCAAGGCUCGACGGCGUACCUUUUGUAUCAUGAGCCAACGAGUUGUGGUCGGCGGCAAGGUUAAGCCGGAAGGCGAAGCCGAAGCGAAAGCAAGUCUGAUAAGGGCGUGAAGUCGUCGGUUACAGACCCGAAACCUUUGUGAUCUAUCCAUGAGCAGGCUGAAGCGCGGGUAAGACUGCGUGGAGGGCCGAACUCACCACAGUUGAAAAUGUGGGGGAUGACUUGUGGAUAGGAGUGAAAGGCUAAUCAAACUGGGAGAUAGCUGGUUCUCGCCGAAACAUAUUGAGGUAUGGGGUCAGUCGAUUUGCACGGGGGGUAGAGCACUGGAUGGGCUAGGGGGACCACAAUCUUACCGAACCCAACCAAACUCCGAAUACCCGUGACAACAGGCUGGCACUCAGGCAGUGAGAGCUAAGUUUCAUUGCCGAGAGGGAAAGAACCCAGACCGGCAGCUAAGGUCCCCAAUUCAUCACUAAGUGGUAAAGGAUGUGGGAGCGCUCAGACAGCCAGGAGGUUGGCUUAGAAGCAGCCAUCCUUUAAAGAAAGCGUAACAGCUCACUGGUCGAGCGAACCUGCGCCGAAAAUUCAACGGGUCUAAGUGAUGAACCGAAGCUCCGGGUCUGCCGAAAGGCAGGCGGUAGGCGAGUAUUGUCUGUACGGUGAAUACGUACGGUAACGAGCGUUGGAGUGCAGACAAGAGCUGAUGUUGGCAUGAGUAGCGAUAAACCGGGUGAAAAACCCGGUCGCCGUAAACCCAAGGGUUCCUGGGUAAAGAUCAUCUUCUCAGGGUCAGUCGGUCCCUAAGGCGAGGCAGAAAUGCGUAGUCGAUGGGAAGCAGGCGAACAUUCCUGCACCAGCACGGAUGGUUUUGUAAGAUGGGACGGAGGAGGAUAGUCGAGCGACCUGAUGGAUGGUCGUUCAAGCCGGUAGGCGGUCUGCGUAGGAGGCAUCUGGCCACAAACGCGCGGGCAACGCCGAGAGGUGAUGAGGGUCGCCGCAAGGCGGACAACUCGAUGAGUCCACGCUUCCAAGAAAAGCAUCGCACAAGUCAACCGCUGUGCUGACCGUACCGUAAACCGACACAGGUGGGUGGGGAGAACAUCCCAAGGCGCUUGAGAGAACUCGGGUUAAGGAACUCGGCAAAUUGACACCGUAACUUCGGGAGAAGGUGUGCCCUUGAGGGUGAACUGCUGGCGCAGGGAGCCUUUGGGGGUUGCAGAGAAUCGGGGGUAGCGACUGUUUACCAAAAACACAGGACUCUGCGAAGUCGCAAGACGACGUAUAGGGUCUGACGCCUGCCCGGUGCCGGAAGGUUAACAGGAGAUGUCAGCGCAAGCGAAGCAUCGAAUCGAAGCCCCGGUAAACGGCGGCCGUAACUAUAACGGUCCUAAGGUAGCGAAAUUCCUUGUCGGGUAAG